AUUUAUCAGAAACAUGUUGCAUAAUCGCUUGGCACAUCGAUUUCAACCAAAAUAGCUGAGCUACUGUAACAAGCCAAAUCGAUUGGCAAAUCGAUUGGAUUAGAACAGUGGAGUCACUGUGACCAGUCAAGUCGAUUGGCAAAUUGAUUGGAUUAAAACAUUGGAGUCACUGUGACCAGCCAAGUCGAUUGCAUUAAAAUGUCUGAGUCACUGUGAUCAGCCAAAUCGAUUUACAAAUCGAUUGAACUAAAUAUUUGAGUUACAGGAAGAAUUCAACUCAUUGCCAAAUCGAUUAUGACUAUGAAUAUGCGUCGACUGAGCAAU
rnacentral:lncRNA from 1 species